AUGUUAUUUUUAACCGUGCGAAACGUAUCCAUUAUCACUAGUCUAAAUAUAAUAUUAUAUGUGUAACUUAGAAUCUAUCAACUAAACAAAUAAAACUUUUAAUCAAAUGUUAGAAUUAUACAUAGCAUACGGCGCAAACCGGCUAGUACUAUGUAGAAGAGGGAGUGGAGAACGACUAAGGGCAUAAUCGUUAUUAAUAGAAUAAUAUAGCGGCAAACAAGUAAUUUUAAUUAACAAUUUGGAUGAUUCUGGAGUCGUCUAUUUUCUCUCUUCUUGAAUAAGCAGAUCUCUUCAGUCUUCACAAAUUCAUCUCCAAGUAUUUCUCAUCGGCAGCUCUUCAUCUUCAAUUCUCUGAGCACUGGUGCAACCUAAAGCCUUUUUGGACAUUCAAUGCCAUCUGGUUAUGGAUGGACUUGUUAGCAUCAUUUCUUUGUUACUGAAUGGAUAAGAAAAGAUUGAAGAUCGUACGUCUCGAAGGAUUCAGAUAUGGUUAUAUUUACUGCAAUAAUAGAGUGUCGGUGAAAAUUCUGCGCACCAAGAAAGUUGCAAGGCUCAACGGAAUUUUUUGACCUCUCAUAAAGAAAAAAUAUUUAGGAGAUUGGACAGAUGAGCAGUUUCUACAUAGGCCUUACUCUUUCGUACUUGAAUUAUGUAAUGAUAUUCAAAAUGAUUGUAUUUUAAAAAAUGGUUACAAGAGUCGUUCUGCAUUUGCGAAAUACAAUGUAUUGUACGCCUAAAGAUAUGUAGAUGCAAGGAGAACUCUCAGGGGUUCUAAUAAUUUGCUAAUUGUAAGAAGUUAGUCAAUCGUUUUGUUACUUUCUUUAUGGUUAUGAUGAUAUGCUAACAGAUGUUCAUGCA